AGCAGUGCAGUGGUUAGCGCGCUUCCCGACAAAGGUGAGACACGGGUUCAAUUCCCGUAUGAGUUU